ensembl:rRNA 5S_rRNA 5S ribosomal RNA
GUUUACGGCCAUACCAGCCUGAAUACGCCCGAUCUCGUCUGAUCUCGGAAGCUAAGCAGGGUCGGGCCUGGUUAGUACUUGGAUGGGAGACCGCCUGGGAAUACCAGGUGCUGUAAGCU